UUUUUAUUCAGUUUUGUUUUCCAUCUGAUUGAACUGCAGUAAAUGAUGGACUGUUUGUUGAUUUGUAAUCAUAUAAGACAGGGCUGUGAAUGAGGCCUGUCAGUGUGAUCAGGCUCCUCCUUCUAAUCCACCAACUUAGUGUUGAUGAAGACUAAACAGAGAGAUCACAGCCUUCUUUCUACUUGCUGUAGCUCACAGUUACUCAACACUGCAGAUAUGACGCAGCCUCUGUUCAUCUCAGUGUUGCUGGCUGCUCUGUGCCUUGAAUGCAGAGCACAAAGAGACAACGUGCUGCAACCAAAAGGAGAUGUGACUGCGACUGAAGGAGAGGAAGUAACACUUGACUGUCAAUAUAACAGCAGUUCAUCAAAUGAUUAUCUCUUCUGGUACAAACAGGAUGGAAACAACAGCCCCAAAUUCAUACUGAGCCGCAUUCAACGAGAUGAAGGAACCACAGCAGAUGAGUUUAAGAAGAGAUUUUCAUCCACACUGGAUUCAACCUCAAGAUCAGUUCCUCUGAAGAUCCAGAAGCUUCAGCUGUCUGACUCUGCUGUGUACUACUGUGCUCUGCGGCCCACAGUGACAGGAAACACCAAAACUCUGUACAAAAACCUUUGGAGCAAAGACAACAGAAUCAUCCACUAGAGGGAGUCACACACUGUUAAACUUCAAUAGUAUCUGAUUACAUUGUUGAAUCACAUGGUUGGCAAAACCCUAUGUAAUAGUUCAAAUCCAUGGUAGGUACAAAUGUGAAGAAUAAAAAUUAGACCUUUAAGAUACAAUAAAGUACAAUAUUCCAAUGACUUUUCAAAAAUAAAUAAAAAUGUCACACUGA